CUAGUAAUGGCAGGUCAGCAUACUGCCGUGAAUACGUUCCCGGGGCCCUUGUGCACACCGCCCGUCACACCAUGAGAGUUGGGAAUACCCGAAGCCUGUGAGCUAACUUAUAGAGGCAGCAGUCGAAGGUAGAAUCAAUGAUUGGGGUGAAGUCGUAACAAGGUAUC
rnacentral:rRNA from 1 species